rnacentral:rRNA from 1 species
UACGUAGGGGGCGAGCGUUGUCCGGAUUUAUUGGGCGUAAAGAGCGUGUAGGCGGCCAGGUAGGUCUGCUGUGAAAACUCGAGGCUCAACCUCGAGACGUCGGCGGAAACCAUCUGGCUAGAGUCCGGAAGAGGAGAGUGGAAUUCUCGGUGUAGAGGUGAAAUUCGUAGAUAUCGAGAGGAACACCGGUGGCGAAGGCGGCGAUCUGGACGAUGACUGACGCUGAGACGCGAAAGCGUGGGGAGCAAACAGG